AGUGAACGCUGGCGGUAGGCCUAACACAUGCAAGUCGAACGGCAGCACAGUAAGAGCUUGCUCUUACGGGUGGCGAGUGGCGGACGGGUGAGGAAUACAUCGGAAUCUACUUUUUCGUGGGGGAUAACGUAGGGAAACUUACGCUAAUACCGCAUACGGCCUACGGGUGAAAGCAGGGGAUCUUCGGACCUUGCGCGAUUGAAUGAGCCGAUGUCGGAUUAGCUAGUUGGCGGGGUAAAGGCCCACCAAGGCGACGAUCCGUAGCUGGUCUGAGAGGAUGAUCAGCCACACUGGAACUGAGACACGGUCCAGACUCCUACGGGAGGCAGCAGUGGGGAAUAUUGGACAAUGGGCGCAAGCCUGAUCCAGCCGUACCGCGUGGGUGAAGAAGGCCUUCGGGUUGUAAAGCCCUUUUGUUGGGAAAGAAAAGCAGCAGGUUAAUACCCCGCUGUUCUGACGGUACCCAAAGAAUAAGCACCGGCUAACUUCGUG
rnacentral:rRNA from 1 species